rnacentral:rRNA from 1 species
UGAGGAAUAUUGGUCAAUGGACGAGAGUCUGAACCAGCCAAGUAGCGUGCAGGAUGACGGCCCUAUGGGUUGUAAACUGCUUUUGUUUGGGAAUAAUCGACAUUACGUGUAAUGUUUUGCAUGUACCAUUCGAAUAAGGACCGGCUAAUUCCGUGCCAGCAGCCGCGGUAAUACGGAAGGUCCGGGCGUUAUCCGGAUUUAUUGGGUUUAAAGGGAGCGUAGGCCGCGUUUUAAGCGUGUUGUGAAAUGUAGACGCCCAACGUCUGCAUCGCAGCGCGAACUGGGACGCUUGAGUACGCGCAACGUUGGCGGAAUUCGUCGUGUAGCGGUGAAAUGCUUAGAUAUGACGAGGAACUCCGAUUGCGAAGGCAGCUGACGGGAGCGGCACUGACGCUUAAGCUCGAAGGUGCGGGUAUCAAACAGG